GUCCUUGACAUUUCAGAAGCGAUACAAAUCUAAUUAUUAGCACUUACCGUACUCUAAAGCCGUGUAAACUUACAAAAGCAUAAGAUUUACAUAGGAUUCGAAAAAUUUAAUACUUUUAAUUUUAAAAUAUGGACGGUAGUCGGCACAAUAUUCAAAUGGCAAUACAAAACAGCUCAGUCAUCAGUGACCAAGAAAACUGCAGUAUUCCGAACGUCAGAAAUGUGUAAUAUUAGGUAUAAAGACAGUAGUAACACGGGCGUGCUUUUUUUUUUUUUUUCCUACCUAAGCUGGUAGCCCUAGUGGCUAUUUCAGCGUAACCCUAACUUUAGUAGGUGAGCUCACGGGGCUCAAACCUGAUGACGUUGCUAACACGAACCCUAGCAAGAGCCGUGCUUCGCAGAAUCUACCACCGGAUCGGAAACGCAACCGGUGACCGGUGCUUGAAGUACCGGUAAAAUGGGGCGAUUAGGGAUUGAGAGGCGAAUCGGGAAAAAACCGGGAAAAUCUUUCGACGCUCAAUAUAAGUUUUAUAUUCGUUGCAAAAUCUUCCAUGUUUUGUAGUUUUAUAGUAGAAUGUUGAAAGUUCACAAAACAACUCUGAAUAUGCAUGAUAAUAGCUGCUAACUUAUAAAAAAUCGCGUUUCAAAUUAACUUCCUGUGGUGGUAAUUAUUUUAGUGCUAGAAACUUUGCUCUCUUUUAUUUAUUUGAUAAUAACAGAAGACGACUAUGAUUUAUAAACGUUAUUUAGUGUUUGAACCAGCAUAUAUAUUAAAAGUAAGUCUCAGUUGUUAUUGGUUUUAAUGUAUUUGAUUAAAUAAAAAUACAUGUAAAAA